UACGUAGGGGGCAAGCGUUGUCCGGAUUUAUUGGGCGUAAAGAGCUCGUAGGCGGUUUGUCGCGUCUGCUGUGAAAACUCGGGGCUUAACCCCGGGCCUGCAGUGGGUACGGGCAGACUAGAGUGCGGUAGGGGAGACUGGAAUUCCUGGUGUAGCGGUGAAAUGCGCAGAUAUCAGGAGGAACACCGGUGGCGAAGGCGGGUCUCUGGCCGUAACUGACGCUGAGGAGCGAAAGCGUGGGGAGCGAACAGG
rnacentral:rRNA from 1 species